AUAACUUCAUCAUAUCCUCACCCCCAAAGCUGUGUUUCUACUUGAAGACACCAUUUCCUUAGUUAUCAACCAUGUAAUCAUAAUAUGGCACAUUUAAAUUACCUCACGUUACAGCAGACAAUUGAAAAAAAGAACUUGUAUUUUCUUUGGUGACGGGGGGUGAGGGGUGGAGCAACUCCCAUCACUAAAACUUUCCCAAGUCGAAAUCUCUUACAGCUGUAGAGAUACAUUACAUCUUCGCUCAAGUAGGAUGCUACUUGUACGGCCAUUUUGCUAAACCCUUUGGUAUUUGUUUCCUCAGCAGGAAACCGAUCCAAAGAAUAUCUCAGACCAACGAAAAGGAAUCCUCACUGUCCAGUAUUACGGGAUUGCAAUCUCUUCCUCUCCAAUUCAAGCACUUUCCGCACUCUUUCAUUAGCAGCAGGAGUGCCUCCAGCAACAGAUUCAGGAAGGUAUGGACUGCUAACACGCACCUCAUUCAUCACAACUAUCACAGUCUUGUCCCAGCGCACAGGCAACGUUUUAGACAAAGCAUCAAAUAUAUUCUGAGCUUCAGCGGUGACCCCAAUUCCAAAUCUCUCAGCAUCUAUCUCUGCUUGUCUUAAAGCAGAAUCUUCUCUGGAUUGAAGACUACUGAGAUCAAGAUAACAUUUACUGGUAUCAAGUGGGUCUUGGUUUUGACCAAGAAAACUGAACUCUUUUAUAUAGUUAGCUUUCAAUAGCCUUAUGUCUCUCUUAGGCCCUGAUGCAGAAACCCCUUCUUGAAGAACGAGGAUGUUGGAGGGUUUGUCAUAGGCGAUAACUUGAGCUUCAAAUUCGUCACCUAAAGUAGUCUUGAUGGAUAAAGCGCAUCCAAUUGCGAACUCUUCGUUGUUGUAAGCUUCCAUGGGAGCAGCAGGGCACGCUGCAGCUGAGAUGAAAGAAGAACAAAAA
rnacentral:misc_RNA from 1 species